rnacentral:lncRNA from 1 species
UUUUUUUUUUUUUUAAAGACAGCAUCUCACUCUGUGGCCCAGGCUGGAGUGUGGUGGCACUAUCACAGUUCAUUACAGCCUCAACGUCUCGGACUCAGAUGAUCCUGCCACCUCAAUCUCCCAAGUAGUUGGGACCACAGCCAGACAUACACAUCAGGAUUUCCUGACAGGAACACUUGGUUGAUGUUGGCAGCUGAAGAAGCGAAAGCAUUUUCCUUGGUUGACAACCCUUGAAUCUGUGGACAAGUCACAUAAAUCUAAAAGUUUAUACUGUCCACAGUCCUUUCCUUUGGUCCUAAUAUCAGCGCCAACGUGGAUUCACAGCCAAAAGGAGUUCAUGAUGCAUCUCCCAUGGAAAGAGCUUAUACCUCAAACCCACAAGGCUCCCCUCUACAUUCACCACAUGGAGAACAGACCAGCCAAAACCUCUCAGGAGUAAGGAAAGCCAAAGGAGAAACCUCAGGAAGGGCUGGACUGGGCACAUUUGGUUUCCUUGAAGUCACUUAUUAGAUAACUAAGCUAACUCUUCCUCAUGACAGAGAAGAGUGGCUUGGGUCUCUCCCCGCAGGAAGACAUGGCCAGGGGAAUGAAGGUUCUUCCUCGACAGGUGUACUGGAGAUAUUCUACAUCAAUGUUUUAGAAUUCUGUUUGUAAAUAAUGCCAGUUGAAAAUGAUGGUUUUUUUGUGUGUAACUAGUACAAUCCAAAUCAGACAUUUAUUGAACUCUCACUGUGUGUAAAGGAAAAUACUUACCUCUGUAGGAUAGAGGAUAAAGAACUACUAAGAUAAGCACAUAAUGCUUCACAAAAGUACUAAAAAAAAAAUUAAAAAAGUAAAACUGUCACCUUAGAAUUCUGUAUUACAUGAAAAUAUAUUUAUUUUUAUUCAUUUAUUUGCUUGUUUUUGAGACAGGGUCUCCCUCUGUCACCCAGGCGGGAGUGCAGUGGAGCAAUCACAGAUCACUACAGCCUUGACCUCCCAGGCUCAAGUGAUCCUCCCACCUCAUUAUUGUACAUUUUUAAAUGUACAAUAGAUUAUUGUUGAACUGGAAUCCAGCUAGAAUCCAAUUUUUAGAAACUCACUCUAAGGUAAUGAUUAAAAUAUCAGGUGUUAGUUCUAUAAAUCUGUCAUCUAGAUUAAAAACCAGAUGCUUCCAUUCCAGGGUGGAGUAUUUGCCAGUAACUCUCUGGAGAUCUGUCUUAUCUGUGACCAAGACAACGAAGCUUAAAAAAAGGCAAUAAUGUUGGAAAAAGACAUGAAUAUGGUCUGUAUUAAAUUGAUUCUACUUUUUAUUUAGUCAUGACUCUGGACUAACUUUCAAAAAGUAAAAUGUUAUGCCAGCCUAGCAAAUGUUCAUAUCAAAUUCCUCAUUGUUUUCUCUACUCUCCUUUGUCCUGCCCUCCACUUUUGUUUGCUUGGUGAGGCUCACCCUAAAAUAUGUAAAAAUAUGUAAAAUAUGUAAAAAAAAAAUUUAAAAAGCAAUGAUGUUCUGUUGGAAGAAACAAAGGAAAGAAAUAAAAGUUGCAUUUAAAGGGUACAGAAAGAAAUGAUUUUCCUUUUCUGCUUCAAAUGGGAAAAAAA